rnacentral:rRNA from 1 species
CAGCCGCCGCGGGAAUACGGAGGGGGCUAGCGUUGCUCGGAAUUACUGGGCGUAAAGCGCACGUAGGCGGCUUGGUAAGUUAGAGGUGAAAGCCUGGAGCUCAACUCCAGAAUUGCCUUUAAGACUGCCGAGCUAGCAGGUGAGAGAGGUAAGUGGAAUUCCGAGUGUAGAGGUGAAAUUCGUAGAUAUUCGGAAGAACACCAGUGGCGAAGGCGGCUUACUGGCUCAUACUGGACGCUGAGGUGCGAAAGCGUGGGGAGCAAACAGGAUUAGAUACCCGCGUAGUCCCUGUCUCUUAUAA